rnacentral:rRNA from 1 species
UACGUAGGGUGCGAGCGUUAAUCGGAAUUACUGGGCGUAAAGCGUGCGCAGGCGGUUCGUUGUGUCGGCGGUGAAAGCCCCGGGCUUAACCUGGGAAUGGCCGUUGAAACUGGCGAACUGGAGUGUGGCAGAGGGGGGUGGAAUUCCGGCGUGUAGCAGUGAAAUGCGUAGAGAUGCGGAGGAACACCGAUGGCGAAGGCGACUUUCUGGGCUGCUACUGACGCUGAGGCGCGAAAGCGUGGGGAGCAAACAGG